CUCCGUCUCUCUCUCUCUCUCUCUCUCUCUCUCUCUCUCGCGGGGUGAGGUGAGGUGGAGAGGUGAGGCGUCCAGCGGCGCGGCUCACCGAGGAAGCUUAGCCUCGGGAGGACGAAGCGGAUUGGGAUUGAGAGGGAGGCGGCGGGCAGGCGGCACCCCGCGGCGGCGUCCGUCCGUCCUAAACCUCGACUCUCAUUACUUUAUUCUACGAGGAGUUUUCGUUUAAGUUCGACCGGUGCCGGCAGCCGUAGUAGAACAGCUACGACAGCGACGACCACGUGGAAAAUGAACGUUUAAUAAGACGGCCCCCUUAAUCAUUCAUGUCGCACCUGUUACAAGAAGGUAAACCUAGCUUCGGAGCUGGGGCAUCCAACACCCCAGGUAACUCAUGUGAACUAGUGGAUGUGGGAAUACGUUUUGGAUCUGUUAACAUGGGACGAGGUCGAUUCCUAUUACCAAAAUAAAUACGUUUCUAAAUACCACCGAAACUCUUCUAUGUCAGAAGUUAGACACUAGAACAGCGGCAACGGUCCGAGAAUUUACGGUGAGAACAAUAAGGACUCUAUGUUCGCUGUUGAGCACGUUCUCCUUAGUCAAGUUUAAAGUUUUCAAAAAGCAUAGAGAUACUACUUCUCGUGAAGUAACGACGUGAAAGGCUACUGCACGGUUAGCACGCCCCAAACGGUUUCCUAGAAUCUCUCCGAUCUUUUUUCUAGUUUAAGGGGUGUCAUAGAGGAUUCUUAUGUCGGUGAAGUCUAAUAAUGUGGUGUCUACAGAACGGGUCUGAACAGUUUAGUUUUCAGGAACCCUAUUAGCAAUUACCUCCAUUUACAGAGGUCAGUUAAGAAGGACGUUCGAACCUCCUUGAAGUCUCUGAAUCCACGUCCCAUCGAAAGGUACGAGAGUUCAAGGCAGGUCUUUAAGCCAGAGAGCCAUCGGUUUAUCAUCCUUCCAACGCUCGUAGACCAGCAGGAAUAGACCGUAUAGUAGGUCCUAACGAUUCUCUAUGAGAUCGAAAAGUACCAACACGACUUGAAAAGGUCCUGUAGGUAUGUCUUAACUAAGUCAUAUCUUCCUUAGUCUACUAGUUUGCUCCUUGACACUUCCUUGUUGAUUGACAACUAAGUCACAGGUAUUUCUUUUUACCAAGUACAGGUGACUACGGUCUUCUCCAACCUGAAGAUGAGGUUCGUAAUCCAAUAGGUAGUUGAUGUUAUUAUAUGAACCGACCAAGACUUUGAAAACCACCCGUUUCUUAUGAGUAAGGAGAUGCUCGAUACAUACGGUUGAAUCAACUAGCGUGAAGGAACACAUCAGUCUCCCUCGAUAGACUAAAUCGACCGGGUCUCAGAGGAGAGAGGAGACUAAACGGCGUAGGAGGUGGAGGGUUCUCGCUCUUCCUUGAGUAACUCCUUACCUUUUUUCGUCCCGGAGCAGGCUCCGGCGACGGAGGUGGAGGACGUUCCGGUAAAAUACGGGUACUCUUCCUUCCCACCAUACCCACCUAACCACUCUUACUGUGCCUUGGACUAGGCAGCGGGUAACUUAAAUCCUCCGUUCGAGUGGCUAACGACACCCUGCGCGAACUAAUAAAACAAAGACAAGUUCGACUACGUAAGAAGGGACCCAAAGUGUUACUGCCCUCACCAACCGGCCUGAUGAGUUCAAACUAAUACCCUGUGGCCAAUAUGGUUUGGGGUAGACCAUAUUGGAUAUCCGGACUGUCUUUCUGACAACGACGUGACAAACUUUUACAGUCGCUAGUAGACAUAGUAGGUGGUGCCUUAACCUGUUACCGACGUGCAGUCGUAGAGUUAUUGUCACGUCCGUAUCUCCCGUAGUUUUACAGUCGAUACUACAGUUUUGGACGUAGAAAAGAACGUGUGGGUAAUGGCCUCACGAGAACGUCUUACCGCUUCAGUGGACAACAGGUUGGCCACUUUCUAUUCGUACCACGCGAGGAAAAACCUCCACUUCUUCUGACGGGACUAACCUACCAAGCGAGGGACCGUUAGCACAGAUGGUUCUUAUUACUUGGAGUUUCACUCCUAAUGCUCCCACUCAACGGGCUUCUACUAGGAUCGGUUCUGUGCGUCGUCCUUAGGCUAUCUUCGCUGUGUUUAUUUAGGAGUCUCGUUCUACUCCUCUACCUGGGGCUACUAACUUUUAUACACCUCUACCUCGAAUGGGUAAUACGCGAUACUCCGGGUUUAAUCAGCUCGUUGAUGGUCGAGGUCUAAUGCGUUCGUUCUAGUCGCAUGUAAAGUCACUAGAUGAACCGGUCUCCCGUGAACAAAUGUGACUGUGUAGUACCUUCGUAGGUCCGUACUGUCCUCACGGCAACUGGAACCUACGAACGCACCUAAUAGAAGCUUUACAGAUUGUUGUUCUUCCUACCUUUGUAAUUUAAAAACCGCUCGAACCAAAGAUUCUCGCAGACAUUUCCUGAAGAUAAAACGAGAUAUUGACUACCUAGAACGUAACACCACAUACAUCAACCGCCUAUGUGAGUCGAGUACUAUGUCCACUUUUGAGACCGUCCAUUAAGUACUACUGUCACCGAUGACAUGAAAUAUUUAAGACGCAAUACACGCGAACAAAACCGUAGCGUUCCCUGGGGGUAAUUUAGUAAGUUAAACAUACUUAGUUUACAAAGAUGUGGUAGUAAAAAGAACGCCAUGAAUAUAGCCGAGUGAAACGGGUACAACACAUACACUUUUGUAGUUUUGUUACAACGUUCUCAGUUGAAAAUGUAAAGGCGUUAUUA
rnacentral:rRNA from 1 species